rnacentral:lncRNA from 1 species
CUAUGAUGCUCUACGGAUAUAUGGAAGCAGAGUUUGCAGGAGAUUCUGCCCAUCGCUAUAAGUAAACUCAGCUUCCUGCUCCAUUCAUCAGUAGAAGGAACCAACAGAUUUCCUUGCUGUUCCCUGGCCAGGGUGGUGCCGUAGCUGUUGGCAGCGCUCCAGGCUCGCACCAGGCGCAGUGACUCGCAAUACCUUGUAAAAUAGGUUUGGCAGAGCACAGGAAAAUUGCUUACUGCCAUUUCCCUACCUCUGCUCCUGGCUGGAUAUGCGCAGGGAGCACAAGAUGGUGCUGCUCUCCAGAUACGCGUCAGCGCCCCGCUCGGGGCCUAGAGGACUCAAGCCAGAGCAAAUGAGCAGCAGAUUUUGCACCUGUAGUUUGCCAGCUUGA